GCCGGCGGCUCGGGCGGACAGCGGCGCCCCUAAGAAGCAGGAGCGCAGGUUCGAAUCCUGCCGGGGGCA
rnacentral:tRNA from 1 species